GAAAGAGAAGUCAGAGCGCACAGAGGAUGCCUUGGCUUCGGCAGGCGAUGAAGGACGCGGUAAGCUGCGAAAAGGUCCGGGGACCCGCAAACGGGGAUUGAUCCGGACGUUUCCGAAUGGGGCAACCCGCGCGGCUGAAGGCCGCGCACCAGAUCAUUCUGGGGCGAACCCGGGGAACUGAAACAUCUUAGUACCCGGAGGAGGAGAAAGAAAGAGUCGAUUCCCCUAGUAGUGGCGAUCGAAGAGGGAAGAGCCUAAACCGUCGUGUUCACGGACACGGCGGGGUUGUAGGACCGGCGACGUUGACAUCCGCACCAACCGGAACAUUCUGGAAAGUGUGGGCGCAGAGGGUGACACCCCCGUACGGGCGACGUGCGGAUGUCAUGGCCGGCACCUGAGUAGGGCGGGGCACGUGGAAUCCUGUCCGAAUCAGCGGGGACCAUCCCGCAAGGCUAAAGACUGCCGAAGACCGAUAGUGUACCAGUACCGUGAGGGAAAGGUGGGAAGCACCCCGGGAAGGGGAGUGAAAGAGAACCUGAAACUGUGCGCUUGCAAGCGGUCGGAGCACCGGCGACGGUGUGACGGCGUGCCUUUUGCAUAAUGAGCCUACGAGUUGCUUCGGUCCGGCGAGGCUAAGCCCUUCAGGGGCGGAGCCGCAGCGAGAGCGAGUCUGAACAGGGCGUUCAGUCGGUCCGAGCAGACGCGAAACCUAGUGAUCUACCCUUGUCCAGGGUGAAGGCGCCGUAACAGGCGCUGGAGGCCCGAACCAGUUUCCGUUGAAAAGGGCUUGGAUGAGGUGAGGGUAGGAGUGAAAGGCCAAUCAAACUGGGAGAUAGCUCGUACUCCCCGAAAUGUCUUUAGGGACAGCCUCGUCGGUUUCCUUCAUGAGGUAGAGCUACCGAUUGGAAGCGAGGGCUUCGCCGCCUGUCAAUUCCAGACGAACUCCGAAUGCGUGAAGGUUCCACGACGGGAGUGAGUCGUCGGGUGCUAAUAUCCGGCGGCGAGAGGGUAAGAGCCCAGACCUCCGGCCAAGGCCCCCAAGAACGGUCUAAGUUGAGACAGAACGAAGUGGCACCGCAGAGACAGCCAGGAUGUUAGCUUGGAAGCAGCUAUUCAUUCAAAGAGUGCGUAACAGCUCACUGGUCGAGCGGAGCCGCGUGGAUGAUGAUCGGGCAUCAAGACCGUCGCCGAAGCCGAGGACGGCAUGCUAGUCAUGCCGUGGUAGGGGAGCAUUCCGGUCGGCGCCGAAGGUAUGGCGCGAGCCAUGCUGGAGCGUCCGGAAAAGAAAAUGUAGGCAUGAGUAACGACAAGAGAUGUACAAACAUCUCCGCCGAAAACCCAAGGUUUCCGGGGCCACGCUAAACGGCCCCGGGUGAGCCGGGAGCUAAGGGGAAGCCGAAGGGCGUACCCGAUGCCGAUGCGGUCAAUAUUCCGCAGCCGGCCCGUGGGGCGAGGUCGCGACCGAGAAGUGAAACCUCCGCGCGGAGACGGAAUUCCGCGUUGAAGGCUGUAGGCGGGAGCCGAGAGCCGACAGUACGGCGAGCCUCCGGGCGAGCCGACAGCGAGGGUAACCAAGCUCGCGAGAAAAGCGACGUAGCGUUAAGACACGGGCCGCCCGUACCGUAAACCGACACAGGUGGGUGGGGAGAGAAUCCUGAGGCGCUCGAGUGAAUCACGGCCAAGGAACUAGGCAAAUUGACCCCGUAACUUAGGGAGAAGGGGUCCCGCGGCGACGCGGGCGCAGAGAAAUGGCCCAGGCGACUGUUUACCAAAAACAUAUGGCUAUGCGAAAUCGUUAAGAUGACGAAUAUGGCCUGACACCUGCCCGGUGCCGGAAGGUUAAGAGGGGGGGUCACCGAAAGGGAAGCCCUGAAUUGAAGCCCCGGUAAACGGCGGCCGUAACUAUAACGGUCCUAAGGUAGCGAAAUUCCUUGUCGGGUAAGUUCCGACCUGCACGAAUGGUGUAACGAUCUGGGCGCUGUCUCAGCCGUGAGCUCGGUGAAAUUGUAGUGGCGGUGAAGAUGCCGCCUACCCGCAACGGGACGAAAAGACCCCGUGAACCUUUACUAUAGCUUAGCGCUGAUCUUGGACGUCGGAUGUGUAGCAUAGGUGGGAGGCUUCGAGGCGCGGCCGCCAGGUCGCGAUUAGCCGCCAAAUGAAAUACCACCCUUCCGUCGUCUGGGGUCUAACUUGGAGACAAGGACACCGCUUGGUGGGUAGUUUGACUGGGGUGGUCGCCUCCAAAAGAGUAACGGAGGCUUCCCAAGGUCCGCUCAGGACGAAUGGCAACCGUCCGCAGAGUGCAGUGGCAGAAGCGGGCUUGACUGGGAGACAAACAGGUCGAGCAGGUACGAAAGUAGGGCAAAGUGAUCCGGCGGUUCCCCAUGGGAGGGCCGUCGCUCAUAGGACAAAAGGUACUCCGGGGAUAACAGGCUGAUCGCUCCCAAGAGCUCAAAUCGACGGAGCGGUUUGGCACCUCGAUGUCGGCUCGUCACAUCCUGGGGCUGGAGCAGGUUCCAAGGGUUCGGCUGUUCGCCGAUUAAAGUGGCACGCGAGCUGGGUUCAGAACGUCGUGAGACAGUUCGGUCCCUAUCCGUCGUGGGCGCAGGAAAAUUGAGGAGAGCUAUCCUUAGUACGAGAGGACCGGGAUGGACCUACCUCUGGUGUAUCUGUUGUCACGCCAGUGGCAGUGCAGAGUAGCUAUGUAGGGAAGGGAUAAACGCUGAAAGCAUCUAAGCGUGAAGCCCUCUCCAAGAUGAGUUUUCCCAUUGUUUAACAAGUAAAAUCCCAGAUAGACUAACUGGUUGAUAGGCUAGAAGUGGAAGUGUAGCGAUACAUUGAGCGGACUAGUACUAAUAGAUUGAGGAUUUAAUCCC
rnacentral:rRNA from 1 species